rnacentral:rRNA from 1 species
CCUACGGGUGGCAGCAGUGAGGAAUAUUGGUCAAUGGACGAGAGUCUGAACCAGCCAAGUCGCGUGAAGGAUGACUGCCCUAUGGGUUGUAAACUUCUUUUAUCUGGGCAUAAAAUGUUCCACGUGUGGGAUUUUGUAUGUACCAUAUGAAUAAGGAUCGGCUAACUCCGUGCCAGCAGCCGCGGUAAUACGGAGGAUACGAGCGUUAUCCGGAUUUAUUGGGUUUAAAGGGAGCGUAGGCGGAUUGUUAAGUCAGUUGUGAACGUUUGCGGGUCAACCGUAAAAUUGCAGUUGAAACUGGCAGUCUUGAGCACAGGAGAGGUGGGCGGAAUGUGUGGUGUAGCGGUGAAAUGCUUAGAUAUCACGAAGAACUCCGAUUGCGAAGGCAGUUCACUGGACUGCAACUGACACUGAGGCUCGAAGGUGUGGGUAUCAAACAGGAUUAGAUAACCGAGUAGUC